AGUUUUCUGGAAUAGCUGAGAGAUUUGACCAUAGCUCAGUGGAUUUUAUGGGGAAUAACUUUGAGUAUCUUCCUUUUGGUGCCGGAAGAAGAAUAUGUCCUGGGAUUACAUUUGGUUUGAUCAACGUUUAUCUUCCACUAGCUAAUUUGUUGUAUCAUUUUGAUUGGAAAUUACCUCAUGGUGUGAAGCUUGAAGAUGUGGACAUGAAUGAGUUUUCUGGAAUAACUGCAGCAAGAAAGAGUGAGCUUUACUUGAUUGCCACUCCUUAUCAUCCUUCUCAAUAAUAA
rnacentral:misc_RNA from 1 species